rnacentral:rRNA from 1 species
CGCAUCUGUGCAUGCAGCAUAUCAAUAAGCGGAGGAAAAGAAACUAACAAGGAUUCCCCUAGUAACGGCGAGUGAAGCGGGAAGAGCUCAAAUUUGAAAUCUUAAAGGGUUUCCCUUUACGAAUUGUAGUUUAAAGAAGUGUUUUCUGUUGAGGUUUUGGUAAAAGUUCUUUGGAAUAGGACAUCAUAGAGGGUGAGAAUCCCGUAUUUGACCUUUACUUUCAACUUUGUGAUACACUUUCAAAGAGUCGGAUUGUUUGGGAAUGCAGUCCAAAAUGGGUGGUAAAUUUCAUCUAAAGCUAAAUAUUGGCGAGAGACCGAUAGCGAACAAGUACCGUGAGGGAAAGAUGAAAAGAACUUUGAAAAGAGAGUUAAACAGUACGUGAAAUUGUCAAAAGGGAAGCGCUUGACACCAGUGUUGUUUUUCCUGAAAAUCAAUUAAAGAACUGUUUAUGCUAAGUUGUUUAGACUUUAUCAGCUAUCUGUUUAGUUUUGAGCUUUUCUUUAAUGCACUUUUCAGUUAACAAGUCAACAUCAAUUUCUUUUGCUGUAAAAAAGCUUGAGGAAGGUGGCUUGAGAUUCGUCUUAAGUGUUUAUAGCCUCUUGCCUAUGCAGUCGGAGAGAUUGAGGUCUGCAGCGUAGAUCCUUCGGGGCUAAAUGCAUUUGUGCUAAGUUAUAGCAUUUUAUAGACAACUUGUUGACUAUGAUUUGUCUUGUAGCUUACUCGCUUAUGUUAUUUUACCUACGCUUAGGAUGUUGAGCGCAUGUCUCUCUCU